UGUCUAAGUACAAGCCUCACUAAGGUGAAACCGCGAAUGGCUCAUUAAAUCACACCUAAUCUACUGGAUAGUUAACAGUUACUUGGAUAACUGCGGUAAUUCUGGAGCUAAUACAUGCACAAAGCCCCGAACUUACGUGAGGGGCGCUUUUAUUAGAUCAAAACCAAACGGCUUCGGCUGUUCUCUUGGUGACUCUGAAUAACUUUGGGCUGAUCGCAUAGCCUAGCGCUGGCGACAUAUCCUUCGAAGGUGUGCCCUAUCAACUGUCGACUGUGGCAUAGACGCCCACAGUGGUUUUGACGGGUAACGGGGAAUCAGGGUUCGAUUCCGGAGAGGGAGCCUUAAAAACGGCUACCACAUCUAAGGAAGGCAGCAGGCACGCAAAUUACCCAAUGACCGAAGGUCGAGGUAGUGACGAAAACUAACGAUACGGGACUCAUCUGAGGCCCCGUAAUCGGAAUGAGUACACUUUAAAACCGUCCCCGAGGAUCUAUUGGAGGGCAAGUCUGGUGCCAGCAGCCGCGGUAAUUCCAGCUCCAAUAGCGUAUAUUAAAGUUGUUGUGGUUAAAAAGCUCGUAGUUGGAUCUCGGCGGUCUGAGGGCGGUUCGCUUGCUUAAGUGCUACUGCCCUAUAGGCCGUAGUUUUGCCAGAGGCCUCGGGGUGCUCUUAACCGAGUGUCCCGCGGCGCUGGCGGGUUUACUUUGAAAAAAUUAGAGUGCUCAAAGCAGGCUUU
rnacentral:rRNA from 1 species